rfam:Ananas comosus cultivar MD2 ACMD2_Scaffold_494, whole genome shotgun sequence.
AGAGCGAGAUGUAGCCAAGGAGUGACUUGCCGGCGAAAUGCACCGAGAAUCUACCACUGUCUUUCGCUCUCUCUCUCUCAAUGCCGGUGCCGGCAAGUCAUCCUUGGCUGCAUUCUGCUCUCC